GGUUAUGAUGGUGCUAAGGUGGAUAUAUGGUCAUGUGGUAUUAUUCUCUUUGUUUUCAAUGCUGGGUAUUUACCUUUCAAUGACACAAAUUUAAUGACGAUGUAUCGGAAAAUUUACAAAGGUGAAUUUCGUUGUCCGAAAUGGACCUCGCCGGAGCUGAAGAGGUUGUUGACCCGAUUACUUGAUAUCAACCCGGUUACUCGUAUCACCAUUGAGGAGAUUAAGAAUGACCCGUGGUUUCAAACAGGGUAUCAAGAGGUGAAAUCGGUAAAUCAUCCUUUCGAGUUCAAGUCAUGGUCGGGUCCAGGUUCCAACGGAGAAUUCCUUAACGCAUUUGAUAUUAUCUCGUAUUCAUCUGGUUUUAAUUUAUCCAGUUUAGUUAAAGGCAAUGGUGGAUUCAUUAUUAAGGAACAAUUCGUAUCGAGGGAGACGCCGGAGAAGAUAAUCGGGAAAAUUGAGGAGGUGGCGGAGGUGGAAGGGAUGACGGUGGCAGAGAGGAGUGGAGCCUCAGUGAAGGUGGAGGGGCAGAAUGGUAAUUUUGUGGUAAUGGUGGUAGUUAACCGAUUAACUGAAGAACUGGUAAUAGUUGAAAUUGAGAAAAAGGAGAAUGAUGGUGAAAUUUGGAAGAAGAAAUUCAAACCGGAGAUAAGUAGAUUUGUUUAUCAAGGGUGAAAAGGACCAAUUUCUGGCAGCUGAAAUAAAAGUACAUUUGGCCUAAUUUUUAUGAACUAUUGAUUUAAUGAAAAAUUAUUAAGGAACAAAAUUAAUAUUGUACUUUCAUUAUUA
rnacentral:misc_RNA from 1 species